rnacentral:rRNA from 1 species
AAAAGAAACUAACAAGGAUUCCCCUAGUAACGGCGAGUGAACCGGGAAGAGCUCAAAUUUGAAAUCUGGCGUCCUCAGGGCGUCCGAGUUGUAAUCUAUAGAGGCGUUUUCCGUGCCGGACCGUGUCCAAGUCCCUUGGAACAGGGUAUCAAAGAGGGUGACAAUCCCGUACUUGACACGACUACCGGUGCUCUGUGAUACGUCUUCUACGAGUCGAGUUGUUUGGGAAUGCAGCUCAAAAUGGGUGGUGAGUUCCAUCUAAAGCUAAAUAUUGGCGAGAGACCGAUAGCGAACAAGUACCGUGAGGGAAAGAUGAAAAGCACUUUGGAAAGAGAGUUAAACAGUACGUGAAAUUGUUGAAAGGGAAACGAUUGAAGUCAGUCGUGACCGAGAGGCUCAGCCGGCUCUGCCGGUGUAUUCCCCUCGGUCGGGUCAACAUCAGUUUUGUCCGGUGGAUAAGGGCGGCAGGAAUGUGGCACCCUCGGGUGUGUUAUAGCCUGCUGUCGCAUACACCGGGUGAGACUGAGGAACGCAGCUCGCCUUUAUGGCCGGGGCCCGCCCACGUACGAG